rnacentral:lncRNA from 1 species
CCAAUUGCUUUCUCCAUCUAUUACAUCAUGGGUUGAAGGAAAAAACAAAACACUUUAUAUUUCGAACAUUGAAUCUUUGGAGCAGGCAACUCGUCAAAAUCUGUCUAAGACACUAUUAGAGCUUGGCAUCACGUAUGGAUCAGAGUUACAAGUAACUGACAUUACAAGCCCUAAAGUGAUUUUAAUAACAAUAUCUGUUUAAAGUUGUGAUUUUAAUAACAAUAUCUGUUUAAAGCUGAAACUUUUUACAAUGUAAAUCUAAAAAACUAGCUACAAGCUGUAAAUAAAAUCUACUAAGUUAAUGAAAAAGAAAAUAUUU